AUAGGAAGUUACACUGGAAAACCACUGGGAAAAAAAAAUUCAGGAAGACAAAGCAACCAUGUAGAGGAAGACAACACCACAACUGAUCUAGCCAGAAUUGUAGUGCAAUUUGCUUUGGAAAAGGCAAAAAAGAAAAGGACAGGAAACGAUUCAAAUUUGGAAACAGUUAUAGCAGGAACUGUGAAAUCUACUGGCCGUGUACCGAAUACUGAAAAUGUAACAAAUGGAAAAAUUCAAUCUUGCACGACUGUGGCAGAAUCGGAACCAAGAGAAGAAGUAGCUUCAUUUUCUUCUGCAGCUGUGGAACGUAAAAAAACAAAGUGGCAAUUUCUCGUUUCUAACAACGAACAUUCUCCUCCAAAUAAGUACACUGUUGCAUCCACUUAAGCCAAGGAAACGUUUGCGUAUUUUUCAAACUAAAGAGCCAAGCAAGACUCGUAAAAAUUUAUCCCUUUAAAAUAUUACACUAUCGGCGGCAUGCCUAAACCAACAAUCCAUAGGAUAUCAAGAUUCCUUUAAAGUACUUGCGGAUCCAGGAUGGAUUUUAAUUUCGUGACCUUGAAACUAUAAGGAAACAUACUGAGUUCCCUUCUACUUAACCCAAAAAUGAAUGAAUUUGUUUUAACUCAAACUUCUAAGCACCGGUUUGAAUGAAAAGAAACAAUACCAAAAUGAAGCACAAUACAAAAUUUUCCCUAUUCUGCACACUUUUUUUGGUAUUUUUAACACAUUAAAACAAUUCAUGUUAUUAUUAUCCAAUUUUUACCACGCGGGAAUUUUACG